rnacentral:rRNA from 1 species
AUUGAACGCUGGCGGCAGGCUUAACACAUGCAAGUCGAGCGGGGUGAUGGUGCUUGCACUAUCACUUAGCGGCGGACGGGUGAGUAAUGCUUAGGAAUCUGCCUAUUAGUGGGGGACAACAUCUCGAAAGGGAUGCUAAUACCGCAUACGUCCUACGGGAGAAAGCAGGGGAUCACUUGUGACCUUGCGCUAAUAGAUGAGCCUAAGUCGGAUUAGCUAGUUGGUGGGGUAAAGGCCUUCCAAGGCGACGAUCUGUAGCGGGUCUGAGAGGACGAUCCGCCACACUGGGACUGAGACACGGCCCAGACUCCUACGGGAGGCAGCAGUGGGGAAUAUUGGACAAUGGGGGGAACCCUGAUCCAGCCAUGCCGCGUGUGUGAAGAAGGCCUUAUGGUUGUAAAGCACUUUAAGCGAGGAGGAGGCUACUUUAGUUAAUACCCAAGAUGAGUGGACGUUACUCGCAGAAUAAGCACCGGCUAACUCUGUGCCAGCCGCCGCCGUAA